GCGUACUCCGAUGCACUGACCAACCCAUGGACAGUGAUGAUCAAAUCUCUGAAUGCAGUUGUUGCAGAUCGAACAAUGAGAAGCACGAGGAGGACGAUAAAGCAAACAAGUAUCGCAGUACUUAACUUUCACUGUAUGGCCAUUUACCAUAACAUCUUUUGUCCGGGGUAGUUUUAAAUGAGGGGUUCUGCCAUUGACCCAUUCCAUAGAAGGAGUAGCUGCAUCAAAUGCUUCAUCUGAUUCAGGAGGCCGUGAAUUUCUACAGACUAUUCCGGGAUCUCGACUAGAGGUCAAGAAGAGAAAGACUAAAUCUAAUAUAGUAAAGAUUGAGCCCACAAUUAACACAGGAUACCAAUGGUCAGG
rnacentral:misc_RNA from 1 species